GAACUGCGAUAAGUAAUGUGAAUUGCAGAAUUCAGUGAAUCAUCGAGUCUUUGAACGCACAUUGCGCCCGCCAGCACUCUGGCGGGCAUGCCUGUUCGAGCGUCAUUUCAACCCUCAGAACCCCUUGCGGGAUCUGGCGUUGGGGAUUGGCAUCCAGCCAGCCCCGAAAUCUAGUGGCGGUCCCUCCGCGACCUCCCCUGUGCAGUAGCGAUACCUCGCAGCGGGACAGCGGUCUGACCACGCCGUAAAACCCCCAACUUCUCAAGGUUGACCUCGAAUCAGGUAGGAAUACCCGCUGAACUUAAGC
rnacentral:misc_RNA from 1 species